rnacentral:rRNA from 1 species
GGGUUGUGAGGUUAAGCGACUAAGCGUACACGGUGGAUGCCCUGGCAGUCAGAGGCGAUGAAGGACGUGCUAAUCUGCGAUAAGCGCCGGUAAGGUGAUAUGAACCGUUAUAACCGGCGAUUUCCGAAUGGGGAAACCCAGUGUGAUUCGUCACACUAUCAUUAACUGAAUCCAUAGGUUAAUGAGGCGAACCGGGGGAACUGAAACAUCUAAGUACCCCGAGGAAAAGAAAUCAACCGAGAUUCCCCCAGUAGCGGCGAGCGAACGGGGAGGAGCCCAGAGCCUGAAUCAGCAUGUGUGUUAGUGGAAGCGUCUGGAAAGGCGCGCGAUACAGGGUGACAGCCCCGUACACAAAAGCGCAUGUGCUGUGAGCUCGAUGAGUAGGGCGGGACACGUGGUAUCCUGUCUGAAUAUGGGGGGACCAUCCUCCAAGGCUAAAUACUCCUGACUGACCGAUAGUGAACCAGUACCGUGAGGGAAAGGCGAAAAGAACCCCGGCGAGGGGAGUGAAAAAGAACCUGAAACCGUG